GAUGAACGCUGACCGAAUGCUUAACACAUGCAAGUCAACUGUGGCGGACGGGUGAGUAACGCGUACAGAACUUUCCUCACGGAUAGGGACAACAUUUGGAAACGAAUGCUAAUACCUGAUACUGUGAGAGAGCUUUGCGUCCCAUUAGCUAGUUGGAGAGGUAACGGCUCACCAAGGCGAUGAUGGGUAGCCGGCCUGAGAGGGUGAUCGGCCACAAGGGGACUGAGACACUGCCCUUACUCCUACGGGAGGCAGCGGGGGGGAAUAGUGGACAAGGGACCAAAGUCUGAUCCAGCAAUGCUGUGUGCACGAUGAAGUUGUCGGAAUGUAAAGUGCUUUCAGUUGGGAAGCGGUACCAACAGAAGAAGUGACGGCUAAAUACGUGCCAGCAGCCGCGGUAAUUC
rnacentral:rRNA from 1 species